GACGAACGCUGGCGGCGUGCCUAAUACAUGCAAGUAGAACGCUGAAGGAGGAGCUUGCUUCUCUGGAUGAGUUGCGAACGGGUGAGUAACGCGUAGGUAACCUGCCUGGUAGCGGGGGAUAACUAUUGGAAACGAUAGCUAAUACCGCAUAAUAGUAGAUGUUGCAUGACAUUUGCUUAAAAGGUGCAAUUGCAUCACUACCAGAUGGACCUGCGUUGUAUUAGCUAGUUGGUGGGGUAACGGCUCACCAAGGCGACGAUACAUAGCCGACCUGAGAGGGUGAUCGGCCACACUGGGACUGAGACACGGCCCAGACUCCUACGGGAGGCAGCAGUAGGGAAUCUUCGGCAAUGGACGGAAGUCUGACCGAGCAACGCCGCGUGAGUGAAGAAGGUUGUCGGAUCGUAAAGCUCGGUUGUAAGAGAAGAACGAGUGUGAGAGUGGAAAGUUCACACUGUGACGGUAUCUUAACAGAAAGGGACGGCUAACUACGUG
rnacentral:rRNA from 1 species